UCCCUGGUGGUCUAGUGGUUAGGACACAGCACUUUCACUGCUGACACCUGAGUUUGAUCCCUGGUCUGGGAA
rnacentral:tRNA from 1 species